GUUUUCUUAGUACAAACAGUACAAAUGGCUUCCAACCAUUUAAUUUUGGUUACACCCCAAGAGAAAACA
rnacentral:tRNA from 1 species